GGACAGCCUGGGGAGGCUGUGGCACUGUCUGAAAGGGCACGAGAAAGGUAUAGACCGUUUGGAUUGUGGUCGUCAGAUGUUGAACUUACUGAAAGAGCUGACCGAAUUGGUCGGUCAUGACUGACGUUGGUUCGACUGGUUGAAUCGGUGGAGGAAUUUCCGACGCCAGCAGUUGAACUUGAUUGUCAGCUUAGCUGGCUACU
rnacentral:lncRNA from 1 species